rnacentral:rRNA from 1 species
UACGAAGGUCCCAAGCGUUAUUCGGAUUUAUUGGGUUUAAAGGGUGCGUAGGCGGGCUAUUAAGUCAGUGGUGAAAGCCCCAAGCUUAACUUGGGAACUGCCAUUGAUACUGAUGGUCUUGAGUACAUUUGAGGUGGGCGGAAUGUGUCAUGUAGCGGUGAAAUGCUUAGAUAUGACACAGAACACCGAUUGCGAAGGCAGCUCACUAAACUGUAACUGACGCUGAGGCACGAAAGCGUGGGGAGCAAACAGG